rnacentral:rRNA from 1 species
UACGUAGGGUGCAAGCGUUAAUCGGAAUUACUGGGCGUAAAGCGCGCGUAGGUGGUUUGUUAAGUUGGAUGUGAAAGCCCCGGGCUCAACCUGGGAACUGCAUCCAAAACUGGCAAGCUAGAGUACGGUAGAGGGUGGUGGAAUUUCCUGUGUAGCGGUGAAAUGCGUAGAUAUAGGAAGGAACACCAGUGGCGAAGGCGACCACCUGGACUGAUACUGACACUGAGGUGCGAAAGCGUGGGGAGCAAACAGG